UGGCUCAGAUGGUAGAGCAUCUGCCUGCAAUGUGGGAGACCCGGGUUCAAUCCCUGG
rnacentral:tRNA from 1 species